AUUGAACGCUGGCGGCAGGCUUAACACAUGCAAGUCGAGCGGGGGAAGGUAGCUUGCUACCGGACCUAGCGGCGGACGGGUGAGUAAUGCUUAGGAAUCUGCCUAUUAGUGGGGGACAACAUCUCGAAAGAGAUGCUAAUACCGCAUACGUCCUACGGGAGAAAGCAGGGGAUCUUCGGACCUUGCGCUAAUAGAUGAGCCUAAGUCAGAUUAGCUAGUUGGUGGGGUAAAGGCCUACCAAGGCGACGAUCUGUAGCGGGUCUGAGAGGAUGCUCCGCCACACUGGGACUGAGACACGGCCCAGACUCCUACGGGAGGCAGCAGUGGGGAAUAUUGGACAAUGGGGGGAACCCUGAUCCAGCCAUGCCGCGUGUGUGAAGAAGGCCUUAUGGUUGUAAAGCACUUUAAGCGAGGAGGAGGCUACUUUAGUUAAUACCUAGAGAUAGUGGACGUUACUCGCAGAGUAAGCACCGGCUAACUCUGUGCCAGCCGCCGUAAAAC
rnacentral:rRNA from 1 species